rnacentral:rRNA from 2 species
UGACCUCAGAUCAGGCAAGACUACCCGCUGAAUUUAAGCAUAUUAAUAAGCGGAGGAAAAGAA